AUUUUUUUUUUUUUUUUUGUUACUUCCCAUUAUUUUUUUCCAUUGUCAUUCAAAAGUGAUAUUUAUACAAUAGGAAAAUGUUUUUACCAAAAGGGUAUGGGUUGCUUCCACUGUUUCUGACUUCAGAUUCAAGUGUGAAUUCACAAGAUGUACGGAAGCAACAAAUGCCAUUUUUGGCUCUCCCCCUAUGUCGUCUAUAUAUUCUUCUCUAUUUGAUGUGAAUUGUUAAUAGCUAGCUAGGCUAGGCUGCUGCUUCCACUGGGUUGCGUUCAAGUUGAAUAGUAUUCAACUUGUUUGUCAAACUUAUGACAAUUGACAUGUUUCCCAUGUCCUGUUGUUCUCAUCAAUUGCUUCUGCUCAUAAAUUAUUACAUAUAAGAUAUUUUAAUUUUAAUUGUAAUGAAUCUGCAUAAUAAAUGGUUACAAUCUUUUUCUUGCA
rnacentral:misc_RNA from 1 species